AUAACGAGGGCUUAACUGUCUCCUCUUUCCAGUCAAUGAAAUUGAUCUCUCCGUGCAGAAGCGGAGAUAAGUACAUAAGACGAGAAGACCCUAUGGAGCUUUAGACACUAAGACAGAUCAUGUUAAACACCCCACAAACAACGGCUUAAACUUAAUGAUCCCCUGUCCUAAUGUCUUCGGUUGGGGCGACCAUGGGGAAGCACAAAUCCCCCAUGUGGAAUAGGAGGACAAUCCCACAUUAUUUUCCUCUCCUCCCACAAGCAAGAGUUACAACUCUAGCUAACAGAACAUUUGACCUUACAUGAUCCGGCUCACGCCGAUCAACGGACCAAGUUACCCUAGGGAUAACAGCGCAAUCCCCUUUUAGAGCCCAUAUCGACAAGGGGGUUUACGACCUCGAUGUUGGAUCAGGACAUCCUAAUGGUGCAGCCGCUAUUAAGGGUUCGUUUGUUCAACGAUUAAAGUCCUACGUGAUCU
rnacentral:rRNA from 1 species